UACGUAGGGUGCGAGCGUUAAUCGGAAUUACUGGGCGUAAAGCGUGCGCAGGCGGUGAUGUAAGACAGAUGUGAAAUCCCCGGGCUCAACCUGGGAACUGCAUUUGUGACUGCAUCGCUGGAGUGCGGCAGAGGGGGAUGGAAUUCCGCGUGUAGCAGUGAAAUGCGUAGAUAUGCGGAGGAACACCGAUGGCGAAGGCAAUCCCCUGGGCCUGCACUGACGCUCAUGCACGAAAGCGUGGGGAGCAAAC
rnacentral:rRNA from 1 species